AAACGUCGAUCCUCUCUAACCUUAAAGAAAGAGUCGCGUUGGGAGGAAGAGCCGCUCAUCGGAUGAAAGGAGGAAGUGGAAUAUCUAUCCACAUGGGAGUGGCAUCUUACAGGCAGCUUACAGGCCUGGUACCAGCCUAUCCAUUCUUCAGCCUGAUGAAGAGAGAGAUAGAUAGAUGUGUGUGCAUUGUCCAGUGUCAGACUUCAAAGCUGAUCUCUCUUGACUGUCCAAACAACGGC